rnacentral:tRNA from 1 species
CAGGGUACAGCUCAGUGGUAGAAUAUAUGCUUACCAUGCAAGGUCCUGGGUUCAAUUCCCAGUACCCUCA